rnacentral:rRNA from 1 species
GACGAACGCUGGCGGCGUGCUUAACACAUGCAAGUCGAACGAAGUGGCGAACGGGUGAGUAACGCGUAAUCAACCUGCCCUUCAGAGGGGGACAACAGUUGGAAACGCCUGCUAAUACCGCAUACUGAAGGCGGGGAUUGCGUCUGAUUCGCUAGUUGGAGGGGUAACGGACCACCAAGGCGAUGAUCAGUAGCCGGUCUGAGAGGAAGAACGGCAACAUUGGGACUGAGAAAAGGCCCAGACGCCUACGGGAGGCAGAAGGGGGGAAUCUUCCGCAAUGGACGAAAGUCUUACGGAGCAACGCCGCGUGAGUGAUGACGGCCUUCGGGUUGGAAAGCUCUGUUAAUCGGGACGCGGUACCGGAAUAGAAAGCCACGGCUAACUACGUGCCAGCAGCCGCGGUAAUUC